UGGAAAUUUCAUGUAUGGGAAAGUAUUUUCUGUUGUGAUAGAACUUAUAUAUGUAAUCCAAUGAGUAAUGUUAUUUGUUCGAUGUGUUAUGAAACAUUGCAUUUAGCAUAAGAUGAUCAAACCUAUGAACACUGUGUUCUUUGUAUGUUACUCUUUUCACUGAGUUGUUACAUUUUGACUCCUUAGCAACAAUGGAGAUAUUAAGAGAGGCACAGAGAGAGGGAUUUCAGAACUACACUCGCAGGGCAACUGCACCUUUUCCUGUGUACUUCUCUUCUUGCAAGAAUAAACCAACAGGAAGACAACUUUGAUUGACUCUUAUUAAUUCAUCAGUUCCCAACAUUUUUUUGCCUCAACAAUCUGGUGUCAGAAGUAGGAUCCGCUGGUGGACGUCGCCCUGAGCGCAGCUCAGCCUCAUCCUCUACAAAAACAGAGUGAGACGGGGGCCAAAGGCUCCACCUCUGAUCUCCAUCUGACGGAUCCUGCGAACUCAAAACUUCACUAAAGGGGAACGUGGUCACUGCACUGAAGCUGGACCCAGACCUGGAUUCUUGUCCAUUUGCCCGAUACCUCUGCCCCAUUCCCCUAACUGAUUCAACCUCAGAAGAAUCGCAAGGAGCUGCGGGGGGAACAGGUUCCAUCACAGACACAUACUGGGCUGGCCUACACUUCAGCCUGACAGUAACUGCAGAGGAACUGCACGAGGAGAUCAACAAUCAGCAACAGCGUGCUUUAAACGCGGUAAAGAGGGACAUUGGUCUAGAAAUUGCCAGUCCACUGAGGGACGGUGCCCGUACUGCAAAGUGGAAGGACACAGACCAGCUGACUGUCCACAGAAUGAUGCUGCCGGGGCAAAAUGACGGGUGAGGAGCCCGUUGGGUUCUGGUGGCAAUGUAGAUGACCCUGAGGAGGGAGAUCUCUCAGCGAGUGACAGCAGCCUUGCCAGUUCCAGCCCAAGGACCACUGCAUUCUCUGGAACCGGGUGACUGGAUUGUGGUACGGGAACACCGUCCAAAACAUCGUAAGGGUGGGAAGUGGGUUGGACCCUUCCAGGUGCUGCUGACCACACAGGCUGUGAAGGUUGCAGAGAGGACGACGUGGAUCCAUCCCAACAGCUGUCUGCCAGGACGACGGCUCGGAUCAACAGUAACACUCUUGUACACAAGAGGCAGCGUUGUCCAGCACAGUGGGAGAGGCACGUUGAGUGCUUCUUCGCUGCACCGGUGAUAUACACUCUUACAGUAGCUUAGCACAUACUACACGUUCCUGAGAAAACACAUACAGGAGUCACUUUGGGUCACCUACGAGGGAAACUCAUGGCUACACGUUUGUACAGUGCAAUAGUGUCUCUGGUGACACAGGGGAGGGAAACCUAACAGUGGUGACAAAACUCCCUGUGAGACUAUAAGGACCAGUUGCUCGGGUGAACUCUAUACAAACUGGUUGACUAUUGCAUUGACACUCACAGUGACGCAGCAUUAAAGAACUGUGAGAAAUACAGUACUUUGUGUUGUUGCACCCAUGACUGACGAUGACUGUGCUACAGACUCGUUCUCACGGGAAAAAGACCACCGUGAGACUUCAUCUGAUACUAGUAAUGA